UCUCAUCUGUUCUCCAACGAAGCUCAGGAUGACAGCAUUGUCAUUGCUCCAGUGUUAAAUAACACAGAUGUUGGAGGCAAUGUCAUCUACAAUAUAAACAUUAAUACCAUGAAAAAUGAGGACUAUCAGAAAAAAGAGGAAGCAUCCCUGAUCCCACAGCAAAGCACCUCCCCACCAAUACACCUCAAUGAAGACAGAGGGAGAGAGACAAACAGGAGUGGUGAAGACAAGGGUG